rnacentral:rRNA from 1 species
GACGACGCUGGCGGCGUGCUUAACACAUGCAAGUCGAACGGUGACGAGGAGCUUGCUCCUCUGAUCAGUGGCGAACGGGUGAGUAACACGUGAGCAACCUGCCCCAGACUCUGGGAUAACAGUUGGAAACAGCUGCUAAUACCGGAUACGAGACGGAGAGGCAUCUCUACCGUCUGGAAAGUUUUUCGGUCUGGGAUGGACUCGCGGCCUAUCAGCUAGUUGGUGAGGUAAUGGCUCACCAAGGCGACGACGGGUAGCCGGCCUGAGAGGGCGACCGGCCACACUGGGACUGAGACACGGCCCAGACUCCUACGGGAGGCAGCAGUGGGGAAUAUUGGACAAUGGGCGAAAGCCUGAUCCAGCAAUGCCGCGUGAGUGAUGAAGGCCUUAGGGUUGUAAAGCUCUUUUACCAGGGAUGAUAAUGACAGUACCUGGAGAAUAAGCUCCGGCUAACUCCGUG